rnacentral:lncRNA from 1 species
AUGCCUAUAAUUAACCUUCUCCUACUCAUUAUCCCCACUCUUAUCACUAUAGCAUUCCUUAUGCUCAUGGAAUGAGAAAUCUUAGGCUAUAAACAACUAUGCAAGGGACCCAACAUUGUAGGUCCCUAUGGGCUGCUUCAACCUUUUGCUGAUGCAAUAAAACUUUUCAACAAAGAACCCUUACAGCCUCCAACAUCUACUAUUACCUUUUAUAUUAUUGCUCCAACCAUAGCCCUUUCUAUUGCUCUCCUCUUAUGAACUCCCCUCCCUAUGCCAGAUCAUCUAAUUAAUUUUAAUAUAGGUCUUCUAUUUAUACUAGCCACAUCAAGCUUAACCAUCUACUCUAUUCUAUGAUCAGGAUGAGCAUCUAAUUCAAAAUAUGCACUAAUCCAUGCAUUAUGAGCUAUGGCCCAGACAAUUUCAUAUGAGGUCACCCUAGCCAUUAUCCUGUUAUCAGUCCUACUGAUAAGUGGCUCAUUUAACUUGCAUACACUCAUCACAUUUUGCAAGAAUUCUUAUGACUGCUCCUACCAUUCAUGGCCCCUAGCCAUAAUAUGAUUUAUCUCCACACUU